rnacentral:rRNA from 1 species
UACAGAGGUCUCGAGCGUUAGGCGGAAUCACUGGGCUUAAAGCGUGUGUAGGUGGAUGCCUAAGUACCUUGUGAAAUCCCACAGCUUAACUGUGGAACUGCUUGGUAUACUGGGUGUCUUGAGUCACUCAGGGGCGAGCGGAACAAAUGGUGGAGCGGUGAAAUGCGUAGAUAUCAUUUGGAACGCCAAUGGUGAAAACAGCUCGCUGGGGGUGUACUGACACUGAGACACGAAAUCCA